rnacentral:rRNA from 1 species
UACGUAGGGGGCUAGCGUUGUCCGGAUUUAUUGGGCGUAAAGAGCGUGUAGGCGGCUAGAUAGGUCCGUUGUGAAAACUCGAGCUCAACCUCGAGACGCCGGUGGAAACCAUCUAGCUAGAGUCCGGAAGAGGAGAGUGGAAUUCCUGGUGUAGCGGUGAAAUGCGCAGAUAUCAGGAAGAACACCCGUGGCGAAGGCGGCUCUCUGGGACGUGACUGACGCUGAGACGCGAAAGCGUGGGGAGCGAACAGG